rnacentral:rRNA from 1 species
GAUGAACGCUGACAGAAUGCUUAACACAUGCAAGUCUACUUGAAUUUGGGUUUUUUAACUUAGAUUUGGGUGGCGGACGGGUGAGUAACGCGUAAAGAACUUGCCUCACAGCUAGGGACAACAUUUGGAAACGAAUGCUAAUACCUGAUAUUAUGAUUAUAAGGCAUCUUAGAAUUAUGAAAGCUAUAUGCGCUGUGAGAGAGCUUUGCGUCCCAUUAGCUAGUUGGAGAGGUAACGGCUCACCAAGGCGAUGAUGGGUAGCCGGCCUGAGAGGGUGAACGGCCACAAGGGGACUGAGACACGGCCCUUACUCCUACGGGAGGCAGCAGUGGGGAAUAUUGGACAAUGGACCAAGAGUCUGAUCCAGCAAUUCUGUGUGCACGAUGACGUUUUUCGGAAUGUAAAGUGCUUUCAGUUGGGAAGAAAAAAAUGACGGUACCAACAGAAGAAGUGACGGCUAAAUACGU